CUCCAGACUCCUACGGGAGGCAGCAGUGGGGAAUAUUGCACAAUGGGGGGAACCCUGAUGCAGCGACGCCGCGUGAGUGAAGAAGUAUUUCGGUAUGUAAAGCUCUGUCAGCAGGGAAGAAGAAAGGCGGUACCUGACCAAGAAGCCCCGGCUAACUACGUGCCAGCAGCCGCGGUAAUACGUAGGGGGCAAGCGUUAUCCGGAUUUACUGGGUGUAAAGGGGGCGCAGACGGCAGCGCAAGCCAGGAGUGAAAGCCCGGGGCCCAACCCCGGGACUGCUCUUGGAACUGCGCGGCUGGAGUGCAGGAGGGGCAGGCGGAAUUCCUGGUGUAGCGGUGAAAUGCGUAGAUAUCAGGAGGAACACCGGUGGCGAAGGCGGCCUGCUGGACUGCGACUGACGUUGAGGCCCGAAAGCGUGGGGAGCAAACAGGAUUAGAUACCCGGGUAAAG
rnacentral:rRNA from 1 species